UACAGAGACUGCAAGCGUUAUUCGGAUUCACUGGGCGUAAAGGGUGCGCAGGCGGUCGGGUGUGUCAGAUGUGAAAUCCCGAGGCUCAACCUCGGAACUGCGUCUGAAACUACUCGACUAGAGUACUGGAGAGGGUAACGGAAUUCACGGUGUAGCAGUGAAAUGCGUAGAUAUCGGGAGGAACACCGGUGGCGAAGGCGGCGACCUGGGUAGAUACUGACGCUGAGGUGCGAAAGCGUGGGGAGCAAACAGG
rnacentral:rRNA from 1 species